rnacentral:rRNA from 1 species
GGGCCGCACGCGCGCUACACUGACGGAGCCAGCGAGUAACAUCCUUAGCCGAGAGGUUUGGGUAAUCUUGUGAAACUCCGUCGUGCUGGGGAUAGAGCAUUGCAAUUAUUGCUCUUCAACGAGGAAUUCCUAGUAAGCGCAAGUCAUCAGCUUGCGUUGAUUACGUCCC